rnacentral:tRNA from 1 species
GCCCCUGUCGUUCAACGGAUAGGACGAGGGUUUCCUAAACCCUAAAUCCAAGUUCGACUCUUGGUGGGGGCACCA